CUUUGCUAAUAUUUAUCCCCACAUAUAUUCUUUCUAACAAACGGAGUCAAUUUUAACACGUUCUCGAUAUAUAUUCUACUAAAGUUGUUGUAAUGCUUGUGGGACGUAGAUAUUGUACGCAUGCGCAGUGAGAAUUGUGUAUUACGAAAAUUCCUGACUUAUAGGAGUUUGCAAAGAUUCCGAGGGGAAUUCCUCCGAGGAUAUCCCAGUUUAUUCAAAAUUCCCCCAAAUCAUAAAUGACAAUAUAAAUAGAGUAUACAAGGUGUAUUUGAAUUCAUCGUAUUACAAGGUUUUAUUAGAUUAUCUUCGAGUGUCCACUGCUUUAACACCAUCCUUGGUUUUCCAUGGGGAUGUAUUCACCACGUUUAGGACCAUUAAACAAGGAAUAAUAAAAAUCCAGACAUACCUAAGAAAAUUUUUAAACAGAACUAAGGGUUGUUAAGCCCAAGUUAAAAUCGCUGUCAACGCCGUUGUUAUGGUCGAUAUUUCCAUAUUACAGAGUCAUUAAAAAGUGAUUAACCCGCCCACCCCGUGUGGAUAUAUAUAUUUCAUUUCACCAAGCCAGUUUGAGACAGGAAAACUUUGUACCUUAAAAUCGGGCGCGUGGUUUUUCAGGUAAAAGUUUGCACACGAUUUCAGUUUUAAAACACAUUUAUUUCUUCAAAACGUUGUAUUCAUUUGUUUGAGACGUUUCACUAUCCGAUUCCUCAU